UACGUAGGGUGCGAGCGUUAUUCGGAAUUACUGGGCGUAAAGCGUGCGCAGGCGGCGCGUUAAGACAGGUGUGAAAGCCCCGAGCUUAACUUGGGAAUUGCGCUUGUGACUGGCGUGCUGGAGUGUGGCAGAGGGAGGUGGAAUUCCACGUGUAGCAGUGAAAUGCGUAGAGAUGUGGAGGAACACCGAUGGCGAAGGCAGCCUCCUGGGCCAGCACUGACGCUGAGGCGCGAAAGCGUGGGUAGCAAACGGG
rnacentral:rRNA from 1 species